UGUCGACGUUUCGGGCUGAGACAGACCUUUUUCCAGUCUCGAAAAAGUCUGUCUCAGGCCGAAAUGUCGACC
rnacentral:pre_miRNA from 1 species